UCCUCAAGGGGCCGUUACAUAAUAAAUGGCGUGUCCCGCACGGUUAGCCUGGUAUAGAAAAGAAAAAUGGCGGGGGCCUUAGUAGAUCUAUACCCGGCCUCUUGCCACGAGUCUGACCCACCCGCCAGACAAAACAGUGUACACUGUUUUCAUUCAGGCCGGUGAGAGGGAGCUCUUAUUCACUUUUGCUGGCCUAGAGUUCCAAGAGCCGAAGGCUCAACUCUACCUGACAGUUUAAGAAUAAGAAGAUCGUAUCGUGGAUUAUAUUUAUUAUUGUUAUUAAUAUUAUUAGUUUUAUUUUCAAUGUUACCUAGUAUUAAAAUUGUGUAGAACAAGUAGGAACUGCAGAUAUUAAGAGAAUGAAAGUCAGUAAGGAUCAGAGCAGAAGAAGGUGGAAAAAGAGAAGGAUUGAUAGAGAGAAUAAAAGAAAAGAAGAAAAGAGACGGCGGAAUGUGCGAAUAGAUGUGUUUAUAGUUGAAUAGUAAUUUUUAUUGCACAUCUUUAUACUUUUGUAACUUUGACUGUCUUAGUAGCACUUACGCUUUGUGGCUAAACAAAAUAAAAAUUGUUAUAUUGUUUGAGGCCGAUACGAGGAUAACGCAAAAAGGGAUUAUCUGGCGCCAUACCUUCACAGAAGAUCUCAUGGCAGUUGUCACAGUGUUGAGUGUGUGAGAGUCAUUAGAUUCAUAGUUGUUAUCAAAGCUCACCGAUAGACUUGACAGAGACCAGACAAAGGUUAGGACAAUGUCAGUUAGGUGUUUGUAUUGUAGAGAGACUGAUAUGUGGGUCGGGACAGACAUUAGUAAUGUUAGUUAGGCGUAGGCUAGAUACUCAGCCUAUAUAGAGUAGAGUGUUGGGGCAGUCGGGACACAGCGCCAUGUUGUGUUAGCAGGGGCGUGUGUCGUGUGCUAGGCGUUCUCUGGUGAACGACACAUACAGACAUUGGGAGCAAGUCGCCGAGGCUGGCUCGCGAUCUUGGCUCCAAGAGGUGUGAGUUGUUUGCCAGAGACAACAUGUAGGAACUAAUUCUUAGGGACCAGGAGUGACAGUCUUGGCGACUGUCUGAGUCUUAGUGACAUUCUGACAGUCUGGGUAGCAGUCUUUAGAAUGAGGCAGUCUAAGCGUAGAGACACUGAAUAGAUGUUAGCGACAGUGGCGUAGUCAGUAAGACAAAGAGCGACAUGCAGUAAUUGACAUCAGAUGACAUGGACAGCGGUACUGAACUCUGAUGCAGUCUGCGGCGUUGGGUCCAGUGCAUGGAGGAUGGAGUAGCCGUGGUGGUCUGAUUGGCAUUGUAAUUACACGCACCAAACGUGAGAAUCAUUGCUAGACGAAAGAGCCAAGAUUAUGAAGUGAGUGGGUUCGUGACAGCAGUGGACAUCAGUUUGAAAGAGGCUAAAAAACAGUGUGCUGGAUACCAAAUGCUACGGUGACAGCUUGCCGCAUAAUGCACAGCGCUGAAGGUACAUAAAUUCCAAUGUGACACGUUACAACGUGACAUGUUCUGAUGUGACAUGUUACAACGUGACAUGUUCUGACGUGACAAGUAACCCAUAUAGCAGGGGUGGACAGACUAUCUAUGUAUAUAAUUCUCUCUGUCGCCAACCAUGCGGGAAACUACGCAAAAGUCAUGGAAAGAUAGCUCUUUUAUUUCUGCAAGUCGGACUAGAGUUACCCCACGUAACUCUAUCAGUUGCAUAUUUCUGGAAAAAUGUCAUUAAUGAAACUGUUGCUCUCGAACUUCGCAAGAUGGUUGUAAGCUUUGUUUGCAAAUAUUGGGAUAACUAUGGCGACGACCUGUUCGUUGUUCUUACGGAAGUACAGUGAUACACUCUGCUCGACAAUACGCUGCCUACAUGAAUACUUCCGGCGUUUAUGGUGGCGAUCAGUCGUUUGUCCAAACCAACCCACCCCAUCAGGACGACUGUGCCUUUCAGGAAGUGUUCACACGUCAUUAAAUAGCGGCGUAUUCUACGCCGCGGGUUUACUAAAUCAGUUAAAUUCACCAUGGACCGACACCUUAUGAGCCGGUGUAGCCACCGCUGAAUGGGCCACUUCGAAUGACAGCAAGCUCGUAAAAUGUGCUAUAUUUGUUGAUAAAGGUGUUAUACAACAAGCUCGUAAAAUGUGUUAUAUUUGUUGAUAAAGGUGUUAUUCAACAGGGAUACCCAUAAUAUGAUCCGUCCGCCACUUCCGGCUGGCGAAGCUAGUCUGAUCAAGCCAUCAAAACUUCUGUUCACAGUACAAUAAAUCAGCAUGUAAAAUAAAUGGAGAAAUAAAUGACUAGCGUUAGUGGACCUCUCUAUGGACUGCGAUUGAUUGUAUUUUAUGCUGUUCUGAUAUUCUUACGGAAAGAUAUUCUUACGAAAGUCUUGUAUUAUCUAAGAUAUCUAUUUUUAGUUUUGAAAUGGCCGUGUCCUUGACAUGUAAUUGACGCAAAGCCAUCUUUUCAUUUUUAGCUGUCUUCUUUUGGUAGCUACGCGAAUGGAAAAGUAAAAGUAAAGUACCCCUUUCAGGUGAUGUAAAGGACAUCUGUUUCUACGGCCGGCGGUUAACGAGGGCGUCAUGUGGCCAGCACAACGAGCAAUCGCUUUCCAAACUAAUGCCAUGUACCCAUUAGAGUUGGGUGGACUGGGGGGGGGGAGGUUUCUUAAAAUUCCGAAAUUAAAAAUCCUAGUCUUCGCCAAGUUCAAGCGUACUUAGCCUCUCGACCACGCUUCCCACCAAGAAAGACCUGAAACUGGAAUUGAAUGACUUUCAAAAUUAGACUUUGGUUUAAGUGAUGCAGUAAUGCAGACAAUAGGUUUAAACUCUUGUGUUGCCUGGAUGUUUACAAUUCUAUAGUGAGAGAAUAAAUGUGUUUAGUUAUACCACAUAAACUUCCCGAUUCAGUAUUCUGAGCUGAAGAAUUAGCUUGUAGCCGGACAUUCAGGCUUGGUUUCGGAAAACAAUUUGAAACAAUUUACUAAUUACUACUGAAAUUAUCUUGGAUACGUGCGUUUCUAAUCAAUAUCAUCUCUGCUUUAUUUUGUUUCUAACUGUGAGGUGAAGUGGACCACGAGGCAGACAGAGAAAGCGAUGGGAGGACAACAUAAAAGAAUGGACGGGCCUGCCAUUGAAAGUGACUCUUGUAAUAGAUAUCUUUAACACACUGACGACUAUAAUAACAAUUAACACAUCACUUUAUUAUUAUUAUUAUAGCUUUUAUAUAGCGCUACUUUCAUGCUCAGAGCGCUUUGGUCCAAUCUCAUUUGUGGACCAGUGGCGGGGGAGAGGGGGUAUCUAGGAGUUGGUUUUCCGUGCUUUAGGCGCUCAGUAAACACAACUCUGCCCGAGUCAGGUGUCGAACCUCGAGCCCCCUUCUAGGUAGCCAAGCCAAGCCCAGUUCAAGCGCACUUAGCCUCUCGACCACGCUUAGUUUGACAUUAUUUAUCCUUAAGUACAUCCAGACUGUCAACUCAGCGUACUGUUGUUUUACUGACCCAUUCCCACACAGUCAUGACUUACACACUAUUCAUUCAUGUAUGCUACAAGAAAGGUCAACUGGUUUUCUCCAUACACAGUAACACACAGUACACUACUAGUCACUCAAAAAAUAAAACACUACUACAAUUCUAUCCAAGGCAAAAGACAGAGAGGAAUGGAGAAAGACAGUCAACAGAUCUUGUGUUGUGCCCCAACGGUCCAACAGACAGCUAAGUAGGUAGGACCAGGACGUGAGAUGGAAUUUAUUUGGACCUUGGACUGAAGAAUAUUUGGUAUUACUGAAUCUACACAAAUUGAUUUGGACACAAUCAUAGACGAUCUGUCAGCGAUUAGUUUGUUGAAUUAUCAGGUACAAAGAGCUUUCAAUGUCACUCACUUUUCGGAUGCAAUUCUUCACUGAUGUAUAAAUAUUAAAGAAACAAAACAAAAAUGUACUAACGUAUGUUGCACUGUUGACUUUCUUUUUUACAACAUCGAGAUCUCACACAGCCUCUACAAGUGGAAAUACAAUUCUUUACGUAAAUCAACUCUUGCCUUAGUGCAGUUUUCGAAGCUUUAUCAAUCUUAGUAUAUUAAGAUAUCACUUAAUGUACGAAAGAUAAUAAGUAAUGCCAGGCGAGAUUUUGGCACCUGAACAACCCCAAGGACAUUAGGGCGGCAAAAAAAACUUAGAAAGAAGGAGACAAAAAUUACCAAAUACAAUUUACAAAAUAAGGUGCAUUUGAUGUAGCAUGUCAGUAAAUCAUAGGCUGUAAAACUAUAAUCUGAAGUAUCACAUUACUUAGACACAGCGAAUUUUCGCAUUCGUUCCUAUUUCGCGUAUUUGUGGGACCAUGGUAACCAAACACAACAAAGGAGGGCAGAAAGGAUGGCAAAGCUAACACAAGAGGAUAAAUAAGACAAAGAAAUAAACUUUAAAACUUGGCUUACAUUUUAUUAAAUAGAAAUUUAAGCAAAUUAAAGACCGUUAUACUUCUAAAAAAAAAAGUUGUAUAUUUCUCAUCACAGUAACAUAUUGGAGUUUUUUUUUUUAUCAAUCGCCUACUCAUUGGUGUGAAACAAGAUUUAAUUCUUAUUGUACUGUGUAAGAAAAAGCCUUUCAAUGACCCAAUGGAGAACUAUAUCUCUGUAUUGACUAUGUGCCCUCACCAGCGAAAACGCUUUUUGCAAAAAAAAAACACUCUUAUAUUGAAAAGCUCUUAGUGAUGGGAGUCUAAAUGGCUGUUUGAUAGUAAUUUCUAAAUUCGUAAAGUUACGAUAUGAACAACCUUCCAAAUGCGUGCACGAAUUUUCAUGGGAUUGUUAAAAAGCGACUCAUUUUUCUGUUCUGGAAAAAAAUAAAAAAAUAAAAAUGUCAAACAACUGAAUCUCUUUCACGCCAAUAUCCCAUUCCUUUAGUUACUCUAAGCAGUACAGUGCAUCAUUAAUAAUUGAGUAUGUGGGCUUAAACAACAGAGUAAAAAUCUGGCAUUUUCACAUUUUUGGGCCAAUGCCUGUCGGACGGAGGAUGCAAUCUCAAAAACUAGGACAUGUCCUCAUUUCGCCGGACGUCUGUUAUAUGGAACUUUUUAUAUGACAUUUAGAUUGCAAUUUGAGAAAAAAAAAAGAUUACCACUGAGUCAAUGGACAGAGGUGCGUGUGUGUGUUUGUUUGUGUGUAUGUCUUUCUGUCUGUCUCUAUCUCUCUCUCUCUCUUGUGGCUGUGACUAAGAUUAUCACAGAUGACUCGACAGAGGUAGAUGGACUUGUGUUAAUUGUAUGGUGAGAGUAGUUCAUUUUAAAUGAGUUCAAAUACGGAUAUAUUUUAAAUCAUCCGACUUUUUGGAAUGUUAGUUUUAUUUCUUAUGUUUCUAAGCUGAAAUUAUAAUAUGUAAAUAUUUGUUAAUAAAAUUUCCAUUUAUAUUUGUUUACAAAACUUUUUCUGAGCCUCAUUCCAGUUUCUGUAUCAAGCUCAUUAAUACUUCUUAAAGAACAGUUAGGUUUGAGAUCUGAACCCAACCAGAACGCACUUAUGUCAUUUUUUUAAAUAUUUUUUUUUUUACACUGAUCACCGAAAUGCAAGGGCAAAAAACGAAAAAAAAAAAAAAAAAAAAAAACUAGAAAACUAAAAGAGAGUGGGUAUGGAUUUAAAACUCAGAUGCAGCCUCCGUGGUCCGGAGUGGUCCUGGUUUCAAUAUUUUCAACUUCAAUAUUAACAGAUAUGAACUACAAAUCGUCAACAAUUACAAACCUACAUCUGUCCAUCCAAAACUGCCGAACAAAAAACGCAUUACGUAGAUUUGUGUAGCUUAUAUAAAAAGAAACAAAUAGUUGAAUAUUUUUUUUUUUUAAUUUUGUAAAAAUCACGGUGGGCUUCCAUUGAAAGAGAUUCUAUCCAAUGCAAAAGACAGAGAGGAAUGUAGAAAAACGGUAGACAGAUCUUGUGUAGUGCCCCAGCGGUUCAACAGACUUUCCUCAAGGAGAUAGUAUGCUGCGGUGACGUUCACAGUUAUUAGCGUUACAUUACAUGAAUACGGAGGAUUCCCUCAAAGGCUCAGGGCUCUCUGGUGGGGCUUAAGUAGACUCACAACAAUGGAUGUGAUUAAAUGAUCAUCAUUAUAUUAUCAUUAAAUAACUAAUAAAUCAAAGCCAAUACUGCACAACUGGCUACACGACAUUACCGAAUACAAAUGCUUUACCAUACAUAUACGUAGUGCCGUUCUAAACUCUGCCUCUCUGAUGGUGCAUUUGAUUGAUUUCUUGAUUUUGAGAACAUUGAAAUAGUGUGAACUUUGAAAUACCUUGUUACUAUCUUAUACAAUAAAUUAAAUUUUACUGCAAAUACUGAUUAUAUGUAAGACACACAGACAUAAAAUCUAAGACACAUAGACAUAAAAUCUCAUUUGUUCUAUUCGUAAUCAAAUCAUCAAAUAAACUGAUACAAACAUUU